GCCGGGCGCGGUGGCUCGCGCCUGUAGUCCCAGUUACUUGGGAGACUGAGGUAGGAGGAUCGCUUGAACCCAGGAGUUCGAGGCUGCAGUGAGCUAUGAUUGCGCCACUGCACUCUAGCCUGGGCGACAGAGAGAGACCCUGUCUCAA
ensembl:misc_RNA Metazoa_SRP Metazoan signal recognition particle RNA